rnacentral:tRNA from 3 species
GCCGAGAUAGCUCAGCUGGUAGAGCAGCGCAUUCGUAAUGCGCGGGUCGCAGGUUCAAUUCCUGUUCUCGGCUCCA